CGAAACGGUUCUACCUGAGUUAAACUAUGUAAAAUACCCUGAGCGAAGAGUACUUCUACCCGGAAACUAUGAGUUGGAUCCCCCUAGGCGAAAAGGUUCUACCUGGGUUAAGCUAAUGUAAACAACCUGAGCGAAGAGUACUUCUACCAGGAACUAUGAGCUAGAUCCCCCUAGGCGAAAAGGUUCUACCUGGGUUAAGCUACAUAAAACAACCUGAGCGAAGAGUACUUCUACCCGGAACUAUGAGCUGGAUCCCCCUAGGCGAAAAAGGUUCUACCUGGGUUGAGCUACGUAAAACAACCUGAGCGAAGAGUACUUCUACCCGGAACUAUGAGCUGGAUCCCCCUAGGCGAAAAGGUUAUACCUGGGUUAAGCUAAUGUAA
rnacentral:lncRNA from 1 species